GCAUGGCUGAAUGCAUGUUCUUUUCACCAGUUUUUUACAUAGCCAGACAUCAUGCAAAAAAAAAAAAAAAAAAA